CGAGGAGGUAGGGCUUACGCUCGCGUUUGUCUGUUAUAUCUUGGUGGACGAGUCGUCGCGGUUGGGACUGAGGUGCCUACAACGUGCUUUUGAGUGGGUUUGUGUCUCCGUGUGCGCCGUGUGCGGAUAGCUUGCUAUGUAUGUGUGGUUGUGUGUGGAUUGAUGCGGGCCUUAACUUGUCGCCGUUCGGGACGUUGACGAAAUGGAGCGAUCCGACCCGUCUUGAAACACGGACCAAGGAGUCUAACAUGUGUGCAAGUGUUAGGGUGUGGAAACCCCAGCGCGAAAUGAAAGUGAAGGGCAGCGCAAGUUGUCUGAGGUAGGAAACGUUGCGGGCUUCGGUCUGCGGCGUGGCACUAUCGACCGAUCAUGAACCUUCGUGGUGAAAGAUUUGAGUUUGAGCACAUAUGUUGGUACCCGAAAGAUGGUGAACUAUGCCUGAGUAGGGUGAAGCCAGGGGAAACUCUGGUGGAAGCUCGUAGCGAUUCUGACGUGCAAAUCGAUCGUCAAACUUGGGUAUAGGGGCGAAAGACUAAUCGAACCAUCUAGUAGCUGGUUCCCUCCGAAAUUUCCCUCAGGAUAGCAGCAACUUAUUUACGAUAGUUUUAUGAGGUAAAGCGAAUGAUUAGAGGAUUCGGGGAAGAAACUUCCUCGACCUAUUCUCAAACUUUAAAUCUGUAAGACCUGCAGGUUUCUUAAU
rnacentral:rRNA from 1 species